CAGUCGCCGCGGGAAUACGUAGGGUGCGAGCGUUAAUCGGAAUUACUGGGCGUAACGCGUGCGCAGGCGGUUGUGUAAGACAGGUGUGAAAUCCCCGGGCUUAACCUGGGAACUGCGCUUGUGACUGCACAGCUAGAGUAUGGCAGAGGGGGGUGGAAUUUCACGUGUAGCAGUGAAAUGCGUAGAGAUGUGGAGGAACAUCGAUGGCGAAGGCAGCCCCCUGGGCCAAUACUGACGCUCAUGCACGAAAGCGUGGGGAGCAAACAGGAUUAGAUACCCCAGUAGUCCCUGUCUCUUAUAC
rnacentral:rRNA from 1 species